UCCCACGUAGUAUCGCACUCUCACAGAAAGUGCUUAGCACGGAAAAAGUCACCGAGAGCCGCUUAAUCCCGUUAGGGAAAAGCCGAUCCUCGACCCGAGCACGGCUGCUCGCGCGCCCCAGGUGCGCGGUGGCGGCGGCGGCGGCAGCGGGGCCGGGCCGGGGACCGCGGCGGGAGCGCAGCCCCUGCCUCGGCUCCCCCGGACAAAGAAGGGAAAGUGCGCCCGAGGAGUGAAGGGGGGCGGGUAUGUGAAAGCCAAAGCACACAAAGGAGGGAGAGGGACAAGUCGCGCAGCUCUUCCUCGCAGCACGACGCCUGGAGCGGGAAGCGGAGGCAGCGGCGGCGCCGGACGGGAGGCGACGAGGGGCGGCGGAGCGCCGCACCUGCCCGAGGAGAGGGGAGCGGCGGGGAGGCGCGAAGCCGGGGGCAGCCCAGCCCAGCCCGCCCCCCGCGGGGAUACUCGCCUGCUCGCGGAGGUAGCCCCGGUGCGGCGGAGUCGUCCGACAGAGGGACCAGAGGUCCCAGGAGAAGAGCCAAGGCCAAGUUCCCUCCUCUUCUGGUGUGCUCUGGCAGCUCUGAGGAGCUGGGUGUUCACAUCAUCACUCAUGGCUGAAACACCCAAGAUUAGCAGAAGGCAGAGCAGCUCCAUUUCCAGGCCAGAACGCGCAGUGCUACUCUGCAAGUCGUACCAAUACUGUUCCCGAAACCUCAAUUUACCAGAAGGGAACUGCACUUCAGGCUGGCAUUCCACGGGUAUCAGCUUUCCAGCAUCACUGAUGUCCCGCAGCUGAAAUGAGAAAGGCAAGGCCAAACAGCUCUGACAGGAUUCUUUGGAGUCGUAUUUCUUCUGCAUUGUAAAGCACUAAAUGUCACCAAGGAUUCCUUAUCUGUUCUCUUCCCAUGCAAGCUCCUCCGAAACAGUAUACUCACCCUGUAUCAGGCCUGUGAAACAAAAUCUACUUACAAGUUUUCUGGUUUGCUGUUAGUUGCUGGUGCGGAUGAUGUUUGUGCAGUAUGCCUCAUACAGAAAUGAAGAUAAAGAAGGCAAACAGUGUUCUUCAUGAAGCUGCUGGACUUUGGAAGGAGGCACUGGAAGAGCCUGUUUUAUUGACAGCAAAUACGAAACUGC